rnacentral:rRNA from 1 species
GACGAACGCUGGCGGCGUGCCUAAUACAUGCAAGUCGAACGCUUCUUUUUCCACCGGAGCUUGCUCCACCGGAAAAAGAGGAGUGGCGAACGGGUGAGUAACACGUGGGUAACCUGCCCACCAGAAGGGGAUAACACUUGGAAACAGGUGCUAAUACCGUAUAACAAUCAAAACCGCAUGGUUUUGAUUUGAAAGGCGCUUUCGGGUGUCGCUGAUGGAUGGACCCGCGGUGCAUUAGCUAGUUGGUGAGGUAACGGCUCACCAAGGCCACGAUGCAUAGCGGACCUGAGAGGGUGAUCGGCCACAUUGGGACUGAGACACGGCCCAAACUCCUACGGGAGGCAGCAGUAGGGAAUCUUCGGCAAUGGACGAAAGUCUGACCGAGCAACGCCGCGUGAGUGAAGAAGGUUUUCGGAUCGUAAAACUCUGUUGUAGAGAAGAACAAGGAUGAGAGUAACUGUUCAUCCCUUGACGGUAUCUAACCAGAAAGCCACGGCUAACUACGUGCCAGCAGCCGCGGUAA